CCCGCCGGCCCCUGCCGCCCCCGCAACCUGCCUCCGUGCCCCCCUCUCUCUUCCAGAACGCCAACCUGGCCCCCUGUGGAGCGACCCAGAUGCCGGCUGGGGCACGCGAGAGUACAAGGUCUAUCCUUACGACGCCCUCAUGGUGACCAACCGAAUCCGUGUGAAACUGCCCAAAGACGUGGACAGGACGCGGCUGGAGAGACACCUGUCGCCCGCCGAGUUCCAGCAGGUGUUCAGCAUGAGCAUGGAGGAGUUCGAGCGCCUGGCCCUGUGGAAGCGGAACGACCUCAAGAAGAAGGCCUUGCUCUUCUGACGGCCGCCGGCUGAGAGCCCCCCCCCCCCCCCCGUACCUCACCCCGGCUGGCGGGGGGGGGCGGGGUGGGCGCGGCCGGGCUGGUGGAGGGAGGGCCCCGCAGGGCGUCCGGUCUGAGCCAGUGACUCCUCCACUGCCUGUAGUGUAGGGCUGGGGGGGGGGGGCUCGCCCGCCCCUCCCCUCCCCUCCCCGGCACGGGCACUGCCGCCUGGCCGCCGCCCUGGUGCCCUGGCGGAGCCCUGCGGGCUGCGGGCGGGCGGGCAGAGCCCGGGGCAGGAGGGCCCGGGUGGCGUGCGGGCGCAGUGCCAAGCGCGGGGUGGCCCUCCUCCUAGCCGCCCGUGACGGGUCUCUUCGGGGGGGGGGGUGGCUGAAAGUCAAGCAGACGGGGUGCCCCCCAGCCCCUGCCCGCGCGACCCCCUCCUUCCAGAUCACCCCGGACGCCUAGGUGACAGCUUCCAGCCGCACAGAGGUUUUUAUUUUACUAAGACGUAUGGCUUCCUCACGCGUAGACGCCGAGUUUAGUCCUGGGCCCCCACGGGCCGGCUCGCCUUACCUCCCCCCACGCGUGUGGUGUCUGUGUGCCCGGCCCCCGGGGCUCCUGCGGCUGAGGGCCCCCCCCCCGCGUCUCCCUCCGUGCGUGUGUGUCACUGGGGACAACCACGAGGACGGUCCCCAAGCGGUCCUGUUUGUACACGCGUGUGGACCGCCGCCGCCAUGACCCGCUCUCCCCGCCGGCCAAGGUCGGGGAGUCGAGUUCUCCUUCCCCCGCGGGGCCUGCCCCCUCCCCCCGUGCACCGCGGUCUCGAGGCUGAGACGCGAUUGGCACACGGCACCAGGGAGACGCGCCCCCCCCCCCCGUGGAGAAGGACGGGGCGCCGCCGCUCCCCCCCGCCCCCGCUGCCUCCAGAUCCGUCGUGGGGUGUGGGUGAGGAGCGUGCCUGGCAGGCGGGGGCCCCCCCACCGCCCCAGGCCCGGACACCGGGGCCGGUGUCUCGUCCCCCUCCCCCCACCCCGUGUGCCCCGUCGGUCCCCACCACCGUGAGUCACGCUUACUCCGUUUCCUCACGCCCCGCCGCUCGCCGAGUCCCGCCCGGCGCGUGCUGUCCAUCAUCGGCCCGUGGGCCCUGGGGGGGGGGGGCGCCGGCACCCAACCCGCUUCCUGCCGUCCAGCCGUGGAAACCCCCUCCUUCCCAUGUGCACCGUGUCGCGUCUGAUCACAGAGAACGCUGAGAAAAUAAAGUGACACGCCGCGGCCGCGGAGG